GGGGCCAGCUGCAGCAUCACCAGCAUGGAGUGGGAAAAAAGGCAAGUAAAAAAAACACUUUUCCCAUCUGAAACGAGGUGGGGAAGGUCACCUAAACAUACACACUCACUGACAGACACACACUUACUGACAAAGAUACAUAUUCACUCACUCGACACAUACUCACUGAUACUGCAAUACACUCUGCGGGGCACACAAAGGAGCAGAGCAGGGAGAUUGCAGCUCCUUCACCGCCACACUCUCCAUGAGCUGUCCCGACCGCGCAAGUUGUCCGUGAGCCGCCACCCACCUGCCUUAGCCCUCCGAGAGCAGACUGCUCUCAGACAACAGGUCACCGCGGGUGC